GCAAGUCGAACGAACUCUGGUAUUGAUUGGUGCUUGCAUCAUGAUUUACAUUUGAGUGAGUGGCGAACUGGUGAGUAACACGUGGGAAACCUGCCCAGAAGCGGGGGAUAACACCUGGAAACAGAUGCUAAUACCGCAUAACAACUUGGACCGCAUGGUCCGAGUUUGAAAGAUGGCUUCGGCUAUCACUUUUGGAUGGUCCCGCGGCGUAUUAGCUAGAUGGUGGGGUAACGGCUCACCAUGGCAAUGAUACGUAGCCGACCUGAGAGGGUAAUCGGCCACAUUGGGACUGAGACACGGCCCAAACUCCUACGGGAGGCAGCAGUAGGGAAUCUUCCACAAUGGACGAAAGUCUGAUGGAGCAACGCCGCGUGAGUGAAGAAGGGUUUCGGCUCGUAAAACUCUGUUGUUAAAGAAGAACAUAUCUGAGAGUAACUGUUCAGGUAUUGACGGUAUUUAACCAGAAAGCCACGGCUAACUACGUGCCAGCAGCCGCGGUAAUACGUAGGUGGCAAGCGUUGUCCGGAUUUAUUGGGCGUAAAGCGAGCGCAGGCGGUUUUUUAAGUCUGAUGUGAAAGCCUUCGGCUCAACCGAAGAAGUGCAUCGGAAACUGGGAAACUUGAGUGCAGAAGAGGACAGUGGAACUCCAUGUGUAGCGGUGAAAUGCGUAGAUAUAUGGAAGAACACCAGUGGCGAAGGCGGCUGUCUGGUCUGUAACUGACGCUGAGGCUCGAAAGUAUGGGUAGCAAACAGGAUUAGAUACCCUGGUAGUCCAUACCGUAAACGAUGAAUGCUAAGUGUUGGAGGGUUUCCGCCCUUCAGUGCUGCAGCUAACGCAUUAAGCAUUCCGCCUGGGGAGUACGGCCGCAAGGCUGAAACUCAAAGGAAUUGACGGGGGCCCGCACAAGCGGUGGAGCAUGUGGUUUAAUUCGAAGCUACGCGAAGAACCUUACCAGGUCUUGACAUACUAUGCAAAUCUAAGAGAUUAGACGUUCCCUUCGGGGACAUGGAUACAGGUGGUGCAUGGUUGUCGUCAGCUCGUGUCGUGAGAUGUUGGGUUAAGUCCCGCAACGAGCGCAACCCUUAUUAUCAGUUGCCAGCAUUAAGUUGGGCACUCUGGUGAGACUGCCGGUGACAAACCGGAGGAAGGUGGGGAUGACGUCAAAUCAUCAUGCCCCUUAUGACCUGGGCUACACACGUGCUACAAUGGAUGGUACAACGAGUUGCGAACUCGCGAGAGUAAGCUAAUCUCUUAAAGCCAUUCUCAGUUCGGAUUGUAGGCUGCAACUCGCCUACAUGAAGUCGGAAUCGCUAGUAAUCGCGGAUCAGCAGCCU
rnacentral:rRNA from 1 species